GGGCUGCCCAGCCCGGAGCACAUGCUCCGGUGACCCGCAGCGUCCAGGCUCUCGCUUUCACCGUGCAGGACAGCUUGCUGGCGGUUGGAGGUUUCGUUAUUCUUGUUUUCCUACAAUUCUGUUGAGCAAUUCACUCAUUUAUCUACAUUUAAAACACUUAAUGAUCAUUUUUUGGAAGUUCUCACUAGGACACACAAGAGCUGAAAACUGUCAACCCAAGAGAGGCCAAACAAGUUUUUGCACCCUCUAGGAGGUACCUCUGCCAGAUGAGAAGGAACAAGGCUGGGUGUGGUUUCCUGUGAUGCCCUAUUACAGGUAAGGACAAAUCUCUAGAACUUAGUCAACACUGGGAUAAACCCAGUCUUAGUACAGCACACUGUACUACGUGUACACAUGUACUUCCAUGGCUUCUGAAAAUGCUGGCCUAGUACCACUUUUUGCAGGCAUAUGACCAUCUCUAACACAACAUA
rnacentral:lncRNA from 1 species